ensembl:snoRNA SNORD18 Small nucleolar RNA SNORD18
UGGAGAUGAUGAGCUGUACUUCAGGUCCGUGUUUUUGAUACCACUUGAUAUCAAUUGAAGUUCUGAUCAA